rnacentral:lncRNA from 1 species
CACCACUAACAUAAGUCAAAAUUCAAUAACAUGAAACAUGUUCGUGAAAUGUAAAACUUCUUUUGAUUGAAACCUCAGGCGUCCAAAUUACUUCAACAGUCUAUAGUCCCUUUGAGGCAAAUAAUACAUUUGUAUAUACAAAUGUGAAAUAAUCACUUCUAUAUUGAAUUGCACCACCAAAAUUUGGUUCUUUCUGCAACCUAACCAUAUCCAUUGUAUACACAAAAUUUGGUUCUUUCUGCAACUGGAAUUUGGCAAUCAAACAUCAGUUCAUAUGCAAUUAUUCGAAUGAAAUGUACAAAAAGAAUAGUCAUGACAGAAAUAAGAACAAAAAUAUACUGCAACAUGAAGAAACCAGACCAAUUUUCCAAUAAACUUGGAGUCAGUAUGAAUUCUUUUAGUAUACUUACAUGCUAAGUACAUUCAUAUCCAUCUAUGUCAAUCAAGAUUUGGCUAUGACUACCGGAAAGUGAAAGAUUAAUUGAAGCCAAUCCAGCAUUCCUGUAAGUGAAACAUCGUUUCUAGUAUACUUACAUGCCAAGUACAUUCAUAUCAAUCAGUACCUCAUUUGUAUAUUAUGAGAACCAAGCGUAACUUCGCUAGUUCAAAUUGAACUUCAAGAACUAGCUAGACUGUAGCCACAAAAUCAAUUAAAUUUUCUGUUAGGUGAGGUUUUUGUUCCGACUUGGUUCACUUUCUCCUCUAGAAGACUAUUGUCUUCUGUCAGCUUCUUUUCCUGCCCAAAAAGGACACCAAGUAAGUAACUCAGACUGCAUUGCAAAGCAGGUAUCAAAUAAUCUUGUGACAUUCACUCUUUCAAUUUGUUACCUCUUGUAUUAUUGAAAAUAUGUAUUGUUUCUCUUAACAUCGAACGAGAUAUAUGUAGCUUUGCAAUGGAUUCUGUUUCAUUUUCCAUCAGAACUGGCAUCAUUAUUUUUUAAAGCAAUUUCUAUUCUUAAACCUCCUUGAUGGAAGCUAUCGUGUUCUUUUCUCACUAGCUAUACGAGUAAUUGCCUAAAUUAACUAUAAGAAUGAGAGUAUACACAACUUUUCAAACCACUAAGCUUGGAGCCAUAAAAAUGGUAGUCAACUGAAAUCUCAACGGUUUGUGAAAGCAAUAACCUACUGAUACAGUAUCAAGUGGCUAUGUUUGGCAUGGAAGUCUAGACAGUGUUGGUAGUUUUACGGAAUAAAUAGAAGAUAAAAUGUUCCUCUGUCUAAUUGUACUAGCUACAAACUUGCCCUUCCGAUUUUACUAGUUUCCUAGUUCCUCAUUUCUCCCUGUGUUGAAUCUGAUAGCCAAGCAGAGAAAAUAGGCACACGGCUGCUUAUUGCAAACAUUUGCAAUGUAAAAAAAAUAAAAAUAAAGGUUGUCAUUCUUGGUUCCAAAACUUGUCCAAUUGCAUCAACUAGGCUGCCUUCGAACUUUGAUUUUUUGCUGCUCAUCGUGAUUUAAGCUAUACUAUGCAGACUUUCAAGUUUCUACUUGAUGUGAUCCUCACAGUCACAAGACUCUAUUUCAGACAGCAAAGAUGCUUUAUCUUCCGCCAAACCUACUUCUUUUCUCAACAAUGCACCAUGUUUUCCUGGUUCUCCUAUCAUGCUAUGCCUGGCUAGAAUUUCCGUUGUCUACAUAUGCUAAUUAGCUUAGCCACCAGUGGCAAGGAAUCAGGACCGAUCUGCACAUCAAGUUAAGGUACUCAGCUUAGAGAGUGCACUGAUAAUAGAGCAGGAUAGUGAUGGCUUAUUUAAGAGAUCUAGGCUCAAAUAUUAAAAAUGCUUACAGAGAACCAGAAAAGGAAGUUCAGAGUGUUAAUUCCUCGUCCAUGGGUAGCUAUGCUUGAGUGAAACCAUAAUGAUUUUGAGAUGGCAAAAUUAACCCCUUUCUAGGUUCAUAAAUCAUAAUUCAUCCAAACAGCUUUUACAUAUCCUAUUGGACUUUGUAAUAGAAUUUUUCUUUUUAGAUAUUAAUAAAUUCAGAAAGUCUGGAGGCCAGUAACAUAAUGAUUUUGAGAUGGCAAAAUUAACACCUUUCUAGGUUCAUAACUCAUCCAAACAGCUUUGACAGAUCCUAUUGGACUUCAUGAAACAAAUUUUCUUUUUAAAUAUUAAUAAAUUCUUAAAGCCUGGAGGCCAUUAACAUAAGUUCCACAAUAAAUGGGAAAAAUUGCAAACCAAGUUCCACAAGGAAUGGAAAAUCGAAAACCUUUUCGUGAAGACUGGUCACAGAUUGCAGCAUCAAAUGUGUCUACAUGGAUAAAAACUCAAUGAGCAUUAUAGCAACGCAAGCUUCGCAAAUCGCAACCAUAAAUAAAUGUGCAAAAACUAAACCCAACCCAUUCAAAAAACCAACCUUGAUGUUUGGAAAGCAGAAUUGAUUGUUUGCAUCAAUAAAAUUUCAUCAAUUUUGUUGGGACCGAAUCUGCCACACAACUCACGGACUGUUUUCACAAGCUCACUCGAAUCUGGACAAAAUUGCAGGUGACCCAUGGUGGUUCUGGGUGCGCCUGGUUGGGAGGAGUGGAGUGGUGGUGGUCCGCGCUCGAAAUGGUGGCAGACAGCGGUGGAAAUAUGGCUAAAACCGUGACUGGUAGUGCGGUUUUGGGUCGUGAUUGGGACUGUUUUGGGCAACUCCGUGGCCAGGUGAUGACAACAGGUUGAAGAGGGAGGUGAGGGGGUUCGAAUGGUUUUGAAAUCUGGUGUUCUAGGUGGUGGCUGGUGGUUGAUUGUUGAGGAAGAAGGUAGCUCUCUGCUCUCAUGCACAGUAAUGGAAAGGGGGCUGUUUCGCGUGUUUUCAAUUUUCCCGUGUUUUGACGUUUUGUG